UUUUUCUCCUUUUGUGCCAAUAUAUUCAUAUAUUUUUUUUGCCCCAAAACCUUCACUGAGACGGCAGGAAUUGCUGUUGUGGUUCCUCGUUAUUUAAACUCCAUGAAAUUAAAGUUCCCCGAUUUGCUGCUGGACAAGUUUUAAAAAGCUGUGGUACGAAGUGGAGAAGACGUGGGAGGUUCUUCAUGGACACAGUUGCUUUUAAAGAUGUGUUACCUUUCCCACGUGGUCACGUGGAUGUUUCCCCAGCAGACCCUAAAUUCCCCCCCAAAACGCCCCACGCUCCCCUUGAGACUCACUGACUGAACCGAGCGGUCGCCCUGUAUGGCGGCGUUUCCUCCGCUACCGUCCACCCGUUUGUUCCUGGAAACGGACCAAUGGCGAAAAUACUUUUAUUGUGUGGAGUAAACACCCGGGGGGGGGGUGGGGGCGUCCGUGUGCCGUCGGGUGUCGGGUUUUUUUUCGCACCUGUGGCGUUGACGUCAUCUGAGUGGGGAUGUCGGGGUUUCCGGGACAGAAGACGCGGUGGAAGAUGGAAGGUACGAGUGUCCCCCCCCCACCCCCACUCCUACUAGACUCUGAGAACGAGGCAGGGGGGAGAGUUUCUGCCACUUGGAUGAAGAAGAGCAAGGAAAACCCUUUUUUUUCCCGUUUGGAUGCCCUCUUUACUUCAUGUUUGCCUUUUAUCGUGAAAUUCAGUAAUAUCAUUAAUAUUGAAAUUUAAAUAUAUCAAUUUUUAUCUUGUGUAUAGGUAUUUGUUGAAUUUUACUGUGGGUGGGUGGGUGAGUGUGUGUGUGUGUGUGUCUGAGGGUGUGUGAUGCAUGUGGCAUACUGGAUGAGGACGGCUGAGGAUAUGUGGUCUUUGAGAGGAAAAUAAGAAAAAAGAAGUGCCGCGAGUGUCGACGGGCUGCGGUUCCUUCAAAAACAGUCGGAAACCUUUUGAUUCCUUCCAUUGAGUGUCCUUGGGUUUGUGUUUUUGUCAAUCAAUGUCACUGCUAUGAAGUCUAGCCCAGUAUGAUUAAAUGUAAAAAAAUAAAUAAAAAAAACCUAAAAUGCAAUGUGGUCUACAUGAAAGCGUGUAUUAUAAAUUAAUAAAUCUUUAAAUAAGGCGACGUCCCUGGAUCCCCUUUUUCUAUUUCUUUAAUAAAUAAUCUGUAGGAACUAAA
ensembl:lncRNA